GCAUCGAUGAAGAACGCAGCGAAAUGCGAUACUUGGUGUGAAUUGCAGAAUCCCGUGAACCAUCGAGUCUUUGAACGCAAGUUGCGCCCCAAGCUGUUAGGCUGAGGGCACGUCUGCCUGGGUGUCACG
rnacentral:rRNA from 3 species